GUCGCCAUGAUUCCCCUGCUCCAGACAGACACAGGUUAAGAUCCUCCCUGAUAAGAGCCUUGACCUUCACCCCCCCCCCAAAAAAAAAGCCUGUUUUUGCACCAGAUGGAGACCAUCACAGAAAGCUUUAACUGGUCAAAAGGCAGAGAACAACGGACUGCGGGGUACCAGUCCUCAACUGACAUAUUCACAACAUAAACCUACACUUAAGGCUCAGGGACAUCACAGGAGAGAGAGGCAGAAGAGCCAGAGGACAAGGACAUCUGCUGCAAGAUUGUCUCUUUCAAAGAUGUGGACAUGAACUGGGGGACUAAAGAGAAGGGGUGGACCUAGGAGGAAGUCAGGCAGAGGAAUGGGCAUUGAAUAUGAUCGAGACAUGCUGUAUUAAAUUCACAAAAAUUAAUUAAACUAUGUUAUUAAAAUAAAAUGUUUAAGCCAG